CGCGGCCACUCCUCUCAUGAACGUGCUCAGCCUUCAACCGGAAAAACCAGUUAAACGAAUGGAAGAAGAAAGACGAGGGGUGUGUAGAAAACACUGUAUGAGAUGGGAAACACACAGAUAUAGAUGUUAAUUGAUGGAUAGGAGUGGUGUGGAUUACUUGUGGAUUAUUGUGAUGUUUGGACUCUCAUUCCGACGGCACCCAUUCACUGCAGAGGAUCCAGUGGUGAGCAAGUGAUGACAAAGUGAUGUAAUGCCAAACUUCUCCAAAUCUGUUCAUCUAGAUCUUGGAUGACAUGAGGCUUUUCACUUCACAAGACGUUAAUUGAUGGAUAGGAGUGGUGUGGAUUACUUGUGGAUUAUUGUGAUGUUUGGACUCUCAUUCUGACGGCACCCAUUCACUGCAGAGGAUCCAGUGGUGAGCAAGUGAUGACAAAGUGAUGUAAUGCCAAACUUCUCCAAAUCUGUUCAUCUAGAUCUUGGAUGACACGAGGAACCCUGUGGCUUUGGAUAAAAGCGUCUGCUAAAUGAAUAUAUGUAAAUAGUGCACUCCUUCCUUUGAUCAAAAGAGGGCGCAAGAGGAGAGGAGACUCCAUUCAACUCUGUGCAUCCAUUGAUUCACAACUUUCUCAAUGUUCCUCUGUGAAUUUAUCCAAAUUAUGUAAGUAACUUUAAGAUAUAUGUCUUUUAAAUACAUGUUGACCAUGUAAAGCCUGACAUAGCAGUCCAAAAUUGAACAGUUUAUUAAAUGCUUAUACAAUAAAACAUACA